rnacentral:rRNA from 1 species
GCAGUCGAGCGGAUUGAUGGGAGCUUGCUCCCUGAAUCAGCGGCGGACGGGUGAGUAACACGUGGGUAACCUGCCUGUAAGACUGGGAUAACUCCGGGAAACCGGGGCUAAUACCGGAUAGUUCUUUUCCUCGCAUGAGGAAAAGUGGAAAGGCGGCUUCGGCUGCCACUUACAGAUGGACCCGCGGCGCAUUAGCUAGUUGGUGAGGUAACGGCUCACCAAGGCAACGAUGCGUAGCCGACCUGAGAGGGUGAUCGGCCACACUGGGACUGAGACACGGCCCAGACUCCUACGGGAGGCAGCAGUAGGGAAUCUUCCGCAAUGGACGAAAGUCUGACGGAGCAACGCCGCGUGAGUGAUGAAGGUUUUCGGAUCGUAAAGCUCUGUUGUUAGGGAAGAACAAGUGCCGUUCGAAUAGGGCGGCACCUUGACGGUACCUAACCAGAAAGCCACGGCUAACUACGUGCCAGCAGCCGCGGUAAUACGUAGGUGGCAAGCGUUGUCCGGAAUUAUUGGGCGUAAAGCGCGCGCAGGCGGUCUCUUAAGUCUGAUGUGAAAGCCCACGGCUCAACCGUGGAGGGUCAUUGGANA